rnacentral:rRNA from 1 species
CCCCUAGAUGUUCUGGGCCGCACGCGCGCUACACUGAACAGUUCAACAAGUCUUAACCUUGGCCGAUAGGUCUGGGUAAUCUUUGAACGCUGUUCGUGAUUGGGAUGGACCUUUGCAAUUAUGGGUCUUCAACGAGGAAUUCCUAGUAAACGCAAGUCAUCAGCUUGCAUUGAUUACGUCCCUGCCCUUUGUACACACCGCCCGUCGCACCUACCGAUUGAAUGGUCCGGUGAAAUCUCGGGACGGCGGCUUGGUCGCUUGCGUCCGACUGCUGAAACUUGAUUAAACCAUAUCAUUUAGAGGAAGGUGAANUCGUANCA